rnacentral:rRNA from 1 species
AGAGUUUGAUCCUGGCUCAGGAUGAACGCUAGCUACAGGCUUAACACAUGCAAGUCGAGGGGCAGCAUGGUCUUAGCUUGCUAAGGCCGAUGGCGACCGGCGCACGGGUGAGUAACACGUAUCCAACCUGCCGUCUACUCUUGGACAGCCUUCUGAAAGGAAGAUUAAUACAAGAUGGCAUCAUGAGUCCGCAUGUUCACAUGAUUAAAGGUAUUCCGGUAGACGAUGGGGAUGCGUUCCAUUAGAUAGUAGGCGGGGUAACGGCCCACCUAGUCUUCGAUGGAUAGGGGUUCUGAGAGGAAGGUCCCCCACAUUGGAACUGAGACACGGUCCAAACUCCUACGGGAGGCAGCAGUGAGGAAUAUUGGUCAAUGGGCGAGAGCCUGAACCAGCCAAGUAGCGUGAAGGAUGACUGCCCUAUGGGUUGUAAACUUCUUUUAUAAAGGAAUAAAGUCGGGUAUGCAUACCCGUUUGCAUGUACUUUAUGAAUAAGGAUCGGCUAACUCCGUGCCAGCAGCCGCGGUAAUACGGAGGAUCCGAGCGUUAUCCGGAUUUAUUGGGUUUAAAGGGAGCGUAGAUGGAUGUUUAAGUCAGUUGUGAAAGUUUGCGGCUCAAUCGUAAAAUUGCAGUUGAUACUGGAUAUCUUGAGUGCAGUUGAGGCAGGCGGAAUUCGUGGUGUAGCGGUGAAAUGCUUAGAUAUCACGAAGAACUCCGAUUGCGAAGGCAGCCUGCUAAGCUGCAACUGACAUUGAGGCUCGAAAGUGUGGGUAUCAAACAGGAUUAGAUACCCUGGUAGUCCACACGGUAAACGAUGAAUACUCGCUGUUUGCGAUAUACGGCAAGCGGCCAAGCGAAAGCGUUAAGUAUUCCACCUGGGGAGUACGCCGGCAACGGUGAAACUCAAAGGAAUUGACGGGGGCCCGCACAAGCGGAGGAACAUGUGGUUUAAUUCGAUGAUACGCGAGGAACCUUACCCGGGCUUAAAUUGCAGAUGAAUUACGGUGAAAGCCGUAAGCCGCAAGGCAUCUGUGAAGGUGCUGCAUGGUUGUCGUCAGCUCGUGCCGUGAGGUGUCGGCUUAAGUGCCAUAACGAGCGCAACCCUUGUUGUCAGUUACUAACAGGUCAUGCUGAGGACUCUGACAAGACUGCCAUCGUAAGAUGUGAGGAAGGUGGGGAUGACGUCAAAUCAGCACGGCCCUUACGUCCGGGGCUACACACGUGUUACAAUGGGGGGUACAGAGGGCCGCUACCACGCGAGUGGAUGCCAAUCCCCAAAACCUCUCUCAGUUCGGACUGGAGUCUGCAACCCGACUCCACGAAGCUGGAUUCGCUAGUAAUCGCGCAUCAGCCACGGCGCGGUGAAUACGUUCCCGGGCCUUGCACUCACCGCCCGUCA